GUCUGAGUCAUGAUCAACAUUAUGUGCUGUUUCACAUGCCAUCAUGAAGAGUGUACCCUUCAGUUCAUCUCUCUUCCCUUCAUCGGCUUCAGCUUCGGCUGCCAUGUGCUAGUCUGCCUGGGCCUGGAACUUCUUACUUGCAGGUGGGAAGUACUUGGUCACUGUCUUUCUGCACUGCUCACACUUCACCGCACAGCACCAGUGGAAUUUACAAUUACAGCUCGACACCAUCUCAGCUUUGCGC